UGACAAAAGAUUUAAACUGACCGAGGAUUAAAAGCAUCCCAAUCGACAUUCCAUCUAUUUUAUAGAAUUAAGAAAAUAAAGUUUAUUACUACUACUCCCUGUGGUAAGUAGCAUACUAUUUAAUAAUGUACGUACAUUGCCAAAUAGUCCAGUAUAUCAGAAGAGGUGGUAGAACGUAUUGUGAGUCCGCGCGGGUGGGUACCACCACCCGUGCCUAUUUCCGCCGUGAAGCAGUAAUGCGUUUCGGUUGGAAGGGUGGGGCAGCCGUAACUAUAUUGAGACCUUAGAACUUAUAUCUCGAGGGAUACAGUUCAGCCACUGCCUACCACUGAAUAUUCUCCUCAAACCUCACUCGAAGAAGGACAUAUCAUAUCGCCCAGGAAACACUAUGGAGAGGAGUACAUUUCCAAGAGGAUGACGUACUAAAAAGAUCACUGGCAAAGACACUGUGAAUAAACGUAGCGGUUCCGGAUAA